CUGGCGGCGCGCUUAACACAUGCAAGUCGAACGGGAAAGUGGAGCAAUCCAUGAGUACAGUGGCGUACGGGUGAGUAACACGUGGGUAUCUAACUCUUAGUGGGGAAUAACGCUGGGAAACCGGCGCUAAUACCGCAUAAGCUCGAGAGAGGAAAGCAGCAAUGCGCUGAGAGAGGAGCCCGCGGCCGAUUAGCUAGUUGGUAGGGUAAAAGCCUACCAAGGCAGAGAUCGGUAGCCGGCCUGAGAGGGCACACGGCCACACUGGCACUGAGACACGGGCCAGACUCCUACGGGAGGCAGCAGUGGGGAAUCUUGCACAAUGGGGGCAACCCUGAUGCAGCGACGCCGCGUGAGCGAUGAAGCCCUUCGGGGUGUAAGGCUCUUUCGUCAGGGAAGAUAAUGACGGUACCUGAGAAGCAGCNCGGC
rnacentral:rRNA from 1 species